rnacentral:rRNA from 1 species
UACGUAGGUGGCUAGCGUUGUCCGGAUUUACUGGGCGUAAAGGGAGCGUAUGCGGACUUUUAAGUGAGAUGUGAAAUACCCGGGCUCAACUUGGGUGCUGCAUUUCAAACUGGAAGUCUAGAGUGCAGUAGAGGAGAAUGGAAUUCCUAGUGUAGCGGUGAAAUGCGUAGAGAUUAGGAAGAACACCAGUGGCGAAGGCGAUUCUCUGGACUGUAACUGACGCUGAGGCUCGAAAGCGUGGGGAGCAAACAGGAUUAGAUA